rnacentral:rRNA from 1 species
GGGUUGUGAGGUUAAGCGACUAAGCGUACACGGUGGAUGCCCUGGCAGGCAGAGGCGAUGAAGGACGUGCUAAUCUGCGAAAAGCGUCGGUAAGGUGAUAUGAACCGUUAUAGCCGGCGAUGUCCGAAUGGGGAAACCCAGUGCAAUUCGUUGCACUAUCGUUAACUGAAUACAUAGGUUAACGAGGCGA